ACAGAGGGUGCGAGCGUUGUCCGGAAUCACUGGGCGUAAAGGGCGCGUAGGCGGCCUGAUAAGUCGGGGGUGAAAUCCUGUGGCUCAACCACAGGGCUGCCUCCGAGACUGUCGGGCUCGAGCACAGUAGAGGCAGGUGGAAUUCCCGGUGUAGCGGUGGAAUGCGUAGAGAUCGGGAAGAACAUCGGUGGCGAAAGCGCUCUACUGGACCACAACUGACACUCAGGGACGAAAGCUAGGGGAGCGAAUGGGA
rnacentral:rRNA from 1 species